AUAAUUAUGGAGUAAAUACGUCUGACAUGGUGCGGGCGGGAGGUGGGGCCGCAGACGUCAGGACAAUGCCAUUAUAGUCCCUCUGGGGAAAACCCAAUUCAAAUACGCUCAGAUUGAGGUGCCCCGAAUGUCUAGACGAUCCUUCUUUUGUGGCCCAGACACCUUUUCUCUGCCUCCCCCCCAUCCCGUCUGAAUGCGUGAGCUUGACCUGUGCUUGACCUGCGCUGUCCCAGCCGCCUCUCCGUGGGAACGGUGGGAGAGUUCAGCCUGGGAGCAGCCUGGCUGCGGGUCCCGUAUUAAGGCAGAGCCGCAAGGUUUCUGCUCAGCGAUGAUCCAGCGCAAGGCAAUGAAAUAAUACCUUUAACUCAAGUGUUCUCUCUGCUCUUUUCUGUUUCUUUCGCCUUCAUUGUCCCUCCUCGUGCAGAUCAGUCCUGUCAUGCUUUAUUUUUAUUUGUUUCAUGUCAUGAAACUGAACACCCUGAAUUAUUGAUUAAAAGUUUUUUUAGCUAAUAAAACCAGACAAAAUAUUACAUGUGCUUUGUUUACUAGAAGAAAAGCAAAACUGAUUGACCUAAAAUUCUACAUAAAGAUUAUCACGCAAAAUCCAGCCUCUGCUUAACCACAAUCCUAUUUAAAUUAUCCAAAGAGAUGAAUGAACAAUAAUUAGCUAAUGAAGUGCAGUGUAAUUGAUAGAAAUGUACUGAUAAAAACAUUUACGCUUGUCCAUUUAUUCCCAUGCAAAGAAUUCAAGUACUUUUCGCCAGAAUGACAUAUGAAAUAUGAAUGUAUGAAAAUAUAGUUCAGAACUUUCAAUUUACAGUACGAACUUUCAAACAUACGAACGAAGAGGACUGUAAAUCCUAAUUGUGAUCCUUUGGCUCCUGUUUCCUCUCCACAAUAUCAAUGUUUUUUUUCACCGCGCAAAUUCCGCCUAGUACGACUUCUGGCCACUACUCCCCCUGCACAGCAGUGUAGCGUGUGAACUCCCAGCAUACUAGUUCUUUGUACUCGCGUAAACCCUUAAAAUGAUGUUGAAUAACGACUUACGAACAUUUCAAGUUACGAACAGCCGUUCGGAACGUAUCUCAUUCGUAAGUAGAGGAGCGUCUGUAUUUGGUGCUACAAGUAAAAGGGGAAGGUCAUAGAAAAUGCCCCGUUGUUUCUUAUGUAGCACUACAAAGCACUACAGGAGCUCCCGUUAAAUAAACAAUACCAUGAAAUAGCAUGAACAGAGCACAUUUUUAAGAACUUGGGUCAGGAAAGGUGCUUUUUGAACACAGGGGGCAAAGUGAAUUUUGAAGAGGUACGAUUUGAGCCCUGCCUGGGAGGCGUUUUCCAGAACAGGGUAUAACCUACAGUUUAGUCCAUCCAGGAGGUCCAUCCAGCCCAAAGAGGCCAAAAGCGGAAUGAAAUAAGAACUCCAAUUAUGAAAAUGUCUAAUCAGCUUCAGCAUCACAAUUUAAACCGUAAAUGGUCCCAUUAGCAUGAAAGGUUUGUGUGGAGAUAUUUAACGUCUGCAGUUUAUGGGUGGAGUCAGAAGCACACGAAUUUGGAAUAAACCUAGAUGAAUUUGGAGUGACGUUGUGGAGGUAUCAGCGGUUUUAAACUGCAGUUUUACCUGAACACGGCGACACCUCCCUUGACCUGCGGCGCGUCGGUGCCAGGCUGGCAGACUGUUGGCUCGCGUGGGCCGUGUUCACAGCAACUGUGUUCAGAGCAGCCACCCGGAACUGUUUUUUUCACCUCGGCUAGUGGAAAGCAGCGAGCAGAGGCACCUGUAUAACCUAGAUAGGGUGCGACUGCAGCGCUGCGGGGCGUGUGCUAAUUGAAAGGCAGGAAGUGAUGUCUGUGCCGCUGCAGGGCUCUCUGGGAGAACAAAGGAGGCAGCGAAGCAGAUCCGGUGGAAAGGGAGAAAUUAGAAACUCAGGCAAGCAGCUGCACAGUCUGAUGUCGAAAACGCAAAGGCUGAAGAGCAGCUUUUAUCUUCAGACCAUCAGGAUGCUGAACUCUCACAUGCCAACAAACAUCCUUCCUAAAAGUCAAGGAGGUUCCAUCCAAACCUAAAAGUCAAGCACACCCGACUUACUGCAUGGUCACUUUAUAUUUAAGUCAUUUUAUAUAUAUUAUAUUUAUAUCAUAUUUAAGUUAAUUACAUUUUCUUUCCUGGUAACAUCAUUUUACUGUAUCGUGUGUUGCUUUGCAGCUGGCUAGCUUUGUAUUUUACUACACAUUGUCCAUGUAUAACUGUGUAUGUGCAAAUAAAUUAUUGAACUUGAAAGUG